CCUACGGGCGGCUGCAGUGGGGAAUAUUGCACAAUGGGCGCAAGCCUGAUGCAGCCAUGCCGCGUGUGUGAAGAAGGCCCUCGGGUUGUAAAGCACUUUCAGCGGGGAGGAAGGCGGUGAGGUUAAUAACCUCAUCGAUUGACGUUACCCGCAGAAGAAGCACCGGCUAACUCCGUGCCAGCAGCCGCGGUAAUACGGAGGGUGCAAGCGUUAAUCGGAAUUACUGGGCGUAAAGCGCACGCAGGCGGCCUGUCAAGUCGGAUGUGAAAUCCCCGGGCUCAACCUGGGAACUGCAUUCGAAACUGGCAGGCUAGAGUCUUGUAGAGGGGGGUAGAAUUCCAGGUGUAGCGGUGAAAUGCGUAGAGAUCUGGAGGAAUACCGGUGGCGAAGGCGGCCCCCUGGACAAAGACUGACGCUCAGGUGCGAAAGCGUGGGAAGCAAACAAGAUUAGAUACCCGAGUAGUC
rnacentral:rRNA from 1 species